rnacentral:lncRNA from 1 species
GAUUCUUAGAGCAGCUCCAGCCUGGUGUAAGGCACAAUCAUACAUGUAACUAGCACAUCAAUCUCAAUCUAACACCAUCUACAAACACUCAAGGGGAGCUGGAGAACCAUGUAAAAAUGUUUUGUCAUGAUGAACCUUCAAGGCUCAGGUUACUCAUACAAUACGAUAAGCAAUUAAUGCGCAGAAAUAAUACUAUUGUAAAUAGUACUAUAUCUGUUGCUCUCUGGACAUGGAAUUAACAUUAGCUCAUCAUACUGAACACUGAGAGCAGAGAAACACCACAGUUAUCAUCAUUUUGAUCCAUGCCAUCAACAGGCCGUGGGUUAGCUGUUCAUAACAUCAGCUUUCACCUCCUGACAAGUCAAGAGUACAUUGCAGUUAAAGAAAACACCCAACUGAUACAUAAUCAUAACAAAUAGGGCUCACUUUUCUCCCCGAUAAAGUAACAAGUUUGGCAUAACAAAGCCUCUAUACGAGAAGUAUACCAAAAAGUUGAAAACCUACAAAAAGAUAUGAUUCUAAAGACACCCUGUUUUCUAUACAUGACCUCAUCGAUGCACCUAUAAAGGCUAAGACACUACUUCUCAAUUAUCCAAAAUUCAUCUCUACCCUUCCAAAGCUCUCCUUUUUCUUUUUCUCCAAAGGGUCCACAUUCCAAGCCAUGUGUCUUCUCUUUCCUCUACCCAAUUCCAACUGAAACGUAGUUCAUCCAGGUAUUUCUUUCUCUUAUAUCCCCUGUCGUUUGUUGACAAGUAACGACAGAUUACGUCUAGGUGACAAGGAAAGCACCAAAGUUAGAUAGUAAAUAAGACAUUAACUCUUAUAUUACAUGGUACACACUCACAGCGACUUGUUAAGUUUCAAUUCAAAGAGGAUAGAUGUGAAGGCCCUAGAAUCCUGGUGAUGGCUAUGCCUAUCGUGUUUGGUUCUUUCAUGUUGCGUUAUUUUCAUGUCCCUGGCGCUCCUUAUCGUACUCUAUGUUGAGGGACAUCAUAUUCCCUUAAACACCAAAAACUACAACCAAAUAAGAGUCACAAAAAGAAGCUAUUCAUGAAAAUAUGCAAAGAGGAGAAGGACAAAUAAGAUCUCCAAGAAGAUGUGGUGUGAGGAUGUCCCUAAAAUAUGCAUUUGUAAUAAUUUAUUACAUUUUACAAACACCAUUUGUAAAACGUAAUAAUUUAUUACAAACUACAAACAGUAUUUGUAAGUUGUAAUAAAUUAUUAAAACUUACACUUACCCCUAUCACAUCACCUUUACUUUCCCCAUUUUUUAAAUGUAACCCCACCACACCCCACGUAGAACCCUCCCACUCCACGCAUAACCCCCUUUAUUUUCUAGUAAAAUUAUUAUACAAUUCUAGCUAGUACUUCUACAAAACCAACUUUUCUACCCAUUAUUAUUAAAUAUUAAACGGUAGAGUGAUUAUUUAAAUUUAAAAAUAAAAUAAAAUAAUUUCAAAUUUAUUAAGGUAAUACAAAGUUUGAGAUUGUAUUUAUAUUAUUUCGUUUUUUAAUUGACUAUUUCGUUUCUUAAAUAAAAGUUUUUUUGAUAUCUAUAAAUUAAAGAUUUUCUUCCAUCAAUUACAUAGUAAUAACUAUCAUAAUUUAGUCAUUGAAUAGUUUUAUUUGUGGGAGAUUAUUCUCUCAAUUAACUUUUAUAUUUUUAACUUAGUUUGGCAAUAUGUUUGUAAGCAGAUCAAAUUAUAUUAAAUAUAAUAUUUUGUUUAACAUAAUUUUUUUUGUGUUUGUAGGGUUGGGGGGAGGGUUCUACGUGGGUGGGGUGGAGUUACAUUUAGAAAGUGAGAAAAGUAAAGGUGAUGUGAUAGGGGUAGAUGUAAGUUGUAAUAAUUUAUUACAACUUACAAAUACUGUUUGUAGUUUGUAAUAAAUUAUUACGUUUUACAAAUGGUGUUUGUAAAAUGUAAUAAAUUAUUACAAAUUAUAUAAUUUGACAUAAAAAUUGAUGUGACAGCACACUGCUUUUUUGUUUUUGGUUUUUUGUUAUGUUUUACAAACACUGUUUAUAAAACGUAAUAAUUUAUUAUGUUUUACAAACGGUGUUUACUAUUCAUUUCCGUCAGUUGACCGUUAAGAAAAAAUUAAAAAACAUAAUAAUUUAUUAUAUUUAGCCUAUUUUGGUAACUUAUUAAAUAGGUGGCCUAUUUUGGUCACUUUUUUUUAUUUGUGGCUUAUUUUGGUUCCAAGUUCCCUUUAUACACAUUCACAAACUUACCCGGACCAUUUAAUCGUAUCUCACUAGGACAAUCAUCAACAUUUUUCCAAGAAUCACUUUUUAUACUAUAUAUUUUUACCUCAGCUUGAUCAUAAGUAUAAGAAACACCCACAACUUUAUAUCAGCCAGUGAACAGACUUCAUUAAACUAGGUCUAGGAUCAGUCAAUUUUUUAUACUUUCAUAUCGACUGGUUCCCUAUAUACAAAUCAUACUUCUCACCAGCAACACAAAUCAAUCCAUUAACCGAACCUAACAUCCAACAAUACCUAGGUAAUAAAUUGUAUCAUUGUGUUUCAUGGGAUAAUCCAAAUCAAGAGCCUCAGUAUGGUAUGACAUUGUUGCUAAUAAGUCUAAACUAGUCCUUAAGUCUAACCAUUGGACUAAAAAUAGUCCUUUAAUAUUGUUUGGAUUGGUGGCUACCCAUUGUAUGGUAUGGCAUUGUUACUUAUAAGACUACCAUGUUUAUUUGGAUUGAUACUAUAUAUGGUAUGAUAUGGUUUGAUUUCAUGGUUAGGUAACCAUAAAAAACCUCAAUUUAGACCGAUUAGGUGGUAUUAUGUUGUAACCUUAACUUUUUUUCUCAUUUUACCUUAUUAUUUGAUAAUCCUAUUUUAUUCUUUAUCUUACCUUUUUAUAAUAGCCCAAUCUCGUAACCUACUUUUCUAGUAGGUUUAUUCUUCAAACAAUUGAUGCGUGAGAUUAUGAGAUUAUGUAAUGACGGAAAAUGAUACAAUCUAUUCAAAUAUUGUAUUCAUUAAAACAAUAAACAAUACAAUACAACAUAAUAUUGUACAAUAUCAUACAUUAUGGAAUAAUACGUAACAAUCAUCCAAGAAGAGUGUAAAUAUCAUGUUGAGUGAAAGCGGGCCAGACCCGAAAAAUGCCCGAUAUUUUAGAGUUGGGAACAAGUAAGGUUAUUUUCUGAUUUAUCCGUUAUCGUUAUAACAAAUUGAAUAUCCUGUUAAUGAGUCAAUCCUAGCUCUUCUUGCUCUUUGCAUUUCAUUUCGAGAGUCAUCAUAGCUUUUAUUAAUAGCCCAUCAUGUAUGUAAAAGUGGUGCAUUUUAGUUUUCACUAACAUUGUAACCUUGGAGUAAUUGGUAAAGUCGUCAUGUGACCAAAAAGUCACAGGUUCAAGUUGUGGAAACAACCUCGUUCAGAAAUGUGAAAUAUGGUUGCGUAUAAUAAAUCCUUGUGGUUCAACCCUUUUCCGGACCCUGCACAUAGCUAGAGCUUUAGUUUCAGCAUGUACUAAAGCAGACGGGGCUGCCCCUUUUUUAACCUUUUCCCUCAAAGACUAACUAGGAACUAUUUGUUGUUCACCUCACAUUCUAUUUGUGAUCUCCUAGCCUCUGUAUGAACUUGCAGGUAGAGGUGGUAGGAGUCAUUAUUCUGAUUUCACGUUUUUCAUCAUCUACAAUACAUUGUUGUACUUGAUGAGCAUAAACAUGCAUAAUUAUUUCUUAAAAGACAUGGUACACAUAGUUGAGCUUAGAGCAUUCAUUAAGCAUCUCAUCUAUAAUUUAUAUAACUCGUUUGCUUACAGAUGUAAUACGGACAAAGAAAAACAAGAGGCUUGUUGUAUUUUGAUAAAUAGGUGAUGAUAGUUCAAAAGGAAAUUCGAACACUCGAUAAUUCAAGUAUGAAACUCAAUCAGUCGGAAUACUUUAGGUGUGUUUUGUACUAUUAACUCUAUUUAUAAUUUCUAAUUCUCAUAGUAGGUAGAAAUAAUAGUUUUCUAACUAUGUUGCUACUGAAAAUAGAGGAUUCUUAGAGCAGCUCCAGCCUGGUGUAAGGCACAAUCAUACAUGUAACUAGCACAUCAAUCUCAAUCUAACACCAUCUACAAACACUCAAGGGGAGCUGGAGAACCAUGUAAAAAUGUUUUGUCAUGAUGAACCUUCAAGGCUCAGGUUACUCAUACAAUACGAUAAGCAAUUAAUGCGCAGAAAUAAUACUAUUGUAAAUAGUACUAUAUCUGUUGCUCUCUGGACAUGGAAUUAACAUUAGCUCAUCAUACUGAACACUGAGAGCAGAGAAACACCACAGUUAUCAUCAUUUU